rnacentral:rRNA from 1 species
AACGAACGCUGGCGGCAGGCUUAACACAUGCAAGUCGAGCGAGACCUUCGGGUCUAGCGGCGGACGGGUUAGUAACGCGUGGGAACGUGCCUUUCUCUACGGAAUAGCCUCGGGAAACUGAGAGUAAUACCGUAUACGCCCUUCGGGGGAAAGAUUUAUCGGAGAGAGAUCGGCCCGCGUUAGAUUAGAUAGUUGGUGGGGUAAUGGCCUACCAAGUCUACGAUCUAUAGCUGGUUUGAGAGGAUGAUCAGCAACACUGGGACUGAGACACGGCCCAGACUCCUACGGGAGGCAGCAGUGGGGAAUCUUGGACAAUGGCGCAAGCCUGAUCCAGCCAUGCCGCGUGAGUGACGAAGGCCUUAGGGUCGUAAAGCUCUUUCAGCUGUGAAGAUAAUGACGGUAGCAGCAGAAGAAACCCCGGCUAACUCCGUGCCAGCG